ensembl:lncRNA
CGGAUUACAGCGGUCAAAAGUUUUGACGGCUGUGGAAAAAUGCGGAACCUUUCUCGCACCGCUAGUACACUGCCGGACCCUUUAGCCGCGCGCAGCGCGCACACGUCCUGUAUUUGAAUUAAACGGCUCAAGCAUGCCCUGAAUGCCUGUUACCACCUGACGCUUCGACCGGCACCUGCGGCUAAGUGAAGAAACCCAAAACAGAAAGGUAUCAUAAUGGAUGUUGUUUUUGUCUUCUAAUAACUGACUAUCCCACCCAUGACUAUCUAUUUUGCAAAGUUUAGAAGCAAGGUAGAUCGGAGGAGAACAUAGUAAACUGUUAAAAUUGCUAUAUGCUAUGCUGUAUUUGAUAACUACGUUGCGAGAUUGUGUACAGUGUUUUAAUAUAAUCUCUCUAGUCUCUACACGUAUUUGUUUUUGCAACUUCGGAUCGACUUUCGAUCUAGUUAUUUGCUGUUAACUGCUAUUGUUGCCAGAACGUGUUAUGAUUGUGUCAGGUAUAUACAGUAUUUAUGCUGCAUUUUGGAUAAGUGUCAUUAAAGAGGAAAAAAUAAUGAAGAGGAAGAAGGCAGACAGAGCGUCCUUCUUCAGGGCAAGUGGAAAGAAGUCAGCUAAGGCAAAGAAUGAGGGUGAGAUGGAGAAAAAACAGGCAGAGAGCGAGGAUGAGGAGCCCCCAGAGAGCAGCAACUUAAAUGGACCUCCAGAUUGAUCGAGAGCAGGACAGAAGAGUCCUCCCUGAGGAGUGGCCCCAGUGGAUCCCCAGAUUCAGACAGCGAGAGAGAGGAGCCUCCAACAACGAGUCGCGGCCCAAGGUACCUCCAGACAUUUCCAAAUCAAGAACCGAUAGAUCUUUAAGGACAGUCUUUGAAGUGUUCAGUUUUAAUGAGAUGUCACUGUUUGGAUUCUCUGUCUGAUAUGUGUAAAUGUGGCUCAAACUUGAAUCUAAUCUUGCAGAGUCCGCCUAAUACCCAUUGUGAAUAUGAUGUUUGUUAUUAUGUGUUUGAUAGAUGUUUAUGAAUCGAAUUGAAGAAAAAUUGACACUGCUUAUUUAAACAGGCUGUUAAUGCUUGUCAUAUCAUUUGUUGGAAUUCAGCAAAUUGUAUUCAGGAUGUUAUUUUAUUUAUUUUCAUAUUUCUAUACAUUAGCUCAGUAUUUUAUACUUUUUGUUAUUUGAAGAUAAAUCCAUAUUGUGAUCAGACUUGAUUAAAAAAACAUUGCACUUCUAAUUUUGUAUCCUUGUUUUGUAUUCCUGAUGAUACACUGAGAGAAUUGACUUGGCUUGUCGCCAUAAACUGAGGACAUCUCUACUAUAAAAUAGAAUACCUUGCUGUCAAUGCAUAUCUGUACAACCAUUGUUCGACUCAGUCGUACAAUACAAAUAAAAACACAAAUAGCAA